AGGGCUGCAGGGAAGGGAUCUGAAGCUGGCUCCCAAUGGCAAAUAUUAGCAGACACAGGAACAAGGUUUGCCUUGCUGUUGGUUCUGGGGAUGCUUGGAGGGCUUCUCUGCUGUGCUGCAAAUCUGAGUGUGUGUCUCUUGCAGGGAUUUGAGCUGCUAUGGGAGCCAGAGGUAGGAAGCUGUGUCAGGGAGCUUCUGAGAGCACGUUCCCAAAAGACAAAUCAAGAGAUAAACAAGCAAGCCUGGAAAACCUUUAAUUCACACUGUUGCCUGAUAUCUGCAUAUGUGUCUUGCUGGAUUUUGUGCCCUUUGCAAUGAGUUGGGGCAGUCAGGAAGGAGUUAACGCUUGUGCCCUAUGAAAACAAGUGCAUCCCAAGCCCUGGCAAUCAGAGGCAAGCAACAAUUAUUAACGCCUCGGCAUUUAAUGUGGCAGAUCACUUACGCCCCCGGUUAUAGUGUGCGUUCAAUUCCAGAGCACUCGGCGUUGUCAUAGCGGGGCCGUAGAUCACAGCGACCUUAGCAUCGUGUCAAGGGGCUUCACUCCAUCAGGGAUAAUGAACGUCUCCCACCGGUUUCUCCCCAUCACUCACUUGAGAUCCAGAAGUUCAUCACGCAAAUGACAAACAAUGUUAAUUUUCUGCAAAUAAUUCCUCCAGAUGUCCACGGGAUUCCAGCACUCUUUGCCCAGAACAGUAAAAUAUGUUUGUCUUCCUUCCUCUAAUUCAUCAGCAGGCCCACAAAUCUCCCCAAACUCCCUAUAAACAAAGCAAGAGCCAGAAUCUAAUAGUUGUCUGCAGUGCAGGCGUGUCUUGCAGUCUCAUUGAUGCAGAUGGGGAGAGGAGUGGUGGAAGAGGUCGAGAAGUUUCUUCUCAGGUGAGAUGUCUCUGCACUCAUCCUUGAAUAGAUAGUGAGUGUGAUAGUCUGAGCCAAGCCUCGCACAGACAUGAGUCCAUGUGGGAGGAGAAACUCCAGGGGAAUGCUUCUGGGCUGAAAACUAAGGAGUGAAACCUGCUGCAAGCCUUAUCUGCGUCACUAGGAGACUCUCCAUCCUGUGGCUGGGCUUCACCAUGGAUUUAUUGAGCUGUUUUCACGUGGGCAGGGAGGCAAACAGGCAGCUUGUUGGUUUCUCCAAGCAUCUCUCAGGUCCCUGAACUCCAAAUUCAGCCAAAAAUACAUGAAGAGCUGACAUCCAGGGAGGUUUGGGCUACAGAAUGUGAGGAGUUUUGGCUUGGACAAAUAGGAAGACAUGAUGCAGAAAUUAGAUCCAGCAAAUGUAUAUGGUAUAUGACAGACCUGUGAUGAAGCAGCCAACAAAAUGUCCCUAUUUUUUCAUGUGGAAGAGGCCAGCAGGCAGGUAAGAGAAAAAUACAAAGAGGAUGGUGCAAAUCCUGGUCUCCUGCCAAACUUCCAGAGGAUCCAAAGCUUAGGAAAGUUUGGAGGCUCCCAUAUUCAUUGUGGCUAUGGAUAUCCCAAAGCUCCCUCUACUCUGGCUGCUGAGGCAGCCCAUCCCUGUACUCCUGCCUUGCUCUGGCACUCCUGCAGCACUUGGGCUGGUUUGAAGCUGCUGUGUUCCCCAUGGAAGUGGGUCCAACCCUUAAAUGACAUGCACCCACCCCUCCCCUGUUGUCUUUUUCACGCUGGAGGGGUUUUUAAAGGCCUUUCUAAGCAGCAGCUGCUGUGUGGCUUUUUGUUUUUUCCAGGUUUUGGUUUUUUUUUUUUGAUGAGUUGGAAAUUAAUUUUCCCUUUCAGUGGUGUCAAACUAUCUGUUCCUACGUCGCAGUGCAGACUGAGCUCGUAACUCUCUUGACUGCCUUCUGCCUGAGUUAUGGGGUCCUCUGCAGCUCAGCCCAAAGGGUUUAAUUUAAGAAUAGGUAUCUUGAAGGAAAGCAGUGAUCUGACACCUGCCUGGUGCUUUUGCAGUCCAUACAUUCUCAAAGUUCUUCCUAGAAUUUGACUGAAAGGUCUCUUGUCGUAUAUUAAGCCCAGGAUUUCUUUCCCACUUCCUUUUUGUUGAUCUGCAGAAUGUAACCAUGUCUCCAUCUCCUCUAGACCAAGCAUCACAAAUGUUUUCCACCUUUCCUUGCCAGCCGUCUCCUAUAGAUUUCCACUCACUGCUGUCUGUCUGCUUUGGACCAUCUCCAGUUAUUCACUCUGGCUUGAAGAUCAGCAUCCCAAACUGGACCUCACUGAGAUUUUAACAGCAUAAAAGAUGUGAGGAGAUGAUUUGGAUGCUUGUACCCUCCAUAUCUUUGUCUGCUUCCAUCCUCACUGCCCUUGGCAUGAUCUUGAACCUGUUUGGGGGCAAGCAGGGUGAAUGGUUUCAAUUGCUGUCUGGGCCACCUGUUGUUGUCUCCUUGUUGCCACAUGUGGACACUAAUAAGACCAUCUGUUGUAGGAACCUGUGUUUUGAAUGGGGGAUGCUUGGGUGAGUUAAUGUGAAUGGACAAAGAAUGCAGCCUGCUUGCAGAGACCAAAGCUCAUUAACCCUUCUGUGGAUGCUCUCAUAUAGGCUCCUUCAUGAGACUAUUUAUGAGGCGCUUUAAUGUGUGUGUGGUGCUUGCUAAUAAGAAACCUGUGUUGAGUCACACCUUAGCUGCUUUGCCGUAGCUUUUCCAACUGUCUGUUUGCAGCCAGAUCAAUGAAGUGUGGGCUGCUUGUCUGGAAAAUCUAGAGCCCGGGAGAGCAUCCAAUGACUUGGGUUUAACCCUUCUUGCAAAAAACACAUUGAUAUCUCCCACUUCCCUAUGGCUAGGACUAAGGGAAUUGCCAGAGGAUCCUUAUCCUUGUUUCCCUCCUUUUGUGUGCUGCCAGCUCUGUCCUUACUGAUGCCCUUUGACUCUCCCCCAGACAAGAGGUCAGCGGUAACUUCAUGUUUUCCUAAAAAUCAAUUCUGGGUUGGCUGCAAGUGGGAAGAACCAUCACAAGUUGUGCCUGGACAUUUGUUUCGACCUACAAGCUUUAAGGUCAGACCCUGCACAUAGCACCAAGGCUUUGCUGGUUUUUUAUUGUUCCUUCUGCGUGGGGAGAAAUUGGUGGGGUUAUGGCCACUGGAGAACUCUUCAACUUGCAGAGCUGUGGGAAAGGUAACAAAGUUCUCACUUUUUGCUCAUUCUUAGUUCUGCUUUUCUGUACUUUCUAUUUACAACUACCAGUUGGCUCUUUUUUUCUCUUCUUUUCUUUUUUUCUUUAAUGCCAAGUCUCUCUUUAGUCCCCUUAAUGAAUAAUAACCUCUUAAUGGCACUCUCAUGGGGCUUUGUCACUAGCGUGACAGCACCUAAUAGCAUAUUAUUGGUUCAGCUGAAUGGGUCACUAGUUUUACUGGACUUGCACAAAGGACAUUGUCAAGAUCCAAGUGCACUCCAACUCUUCCAAGGAUACAGUUAUACUUCCUCCAGCUUUUGGCACACCUUGACUUUGAAGUUUUUGAGAGCAAAAUGGAGACAUCUGCUUUACCUUCUGUCUCAGUGGAAGUGAACUAAGAGAAUUUAUGAAAACCCUAACACUGCUUAGGAGUUUAGCCCCAGAUGUGGAAGUAAAUGACUGUAAAACCUUCUUGGUUUACUUUUACUAGAGCCUUCUAGGCUGUCAUCUACUUCUGGCUUCGCUCAGAGACUGCAGUCCAAAGACUCACGUGCAAUGACCCGCCACCAUCUCUACUUCAGACUCCAGAGCAAGGUAGUCUGAUGAUUCCCUUUCAUGUAAGUACUUUUUUAUCUUUCUUAUCUGUGGAGGGAAGCCAGCACAAGUCAUCUUUGAAGGUAAGGAAAAUGGAACCUAUGUUUUGUAUCCCAGAAACCUCAUUAUUUUCCAACUAAUAUGCUGACCUCGAAUGCUGGGGUUUGGCAGUGUCUUCUAAGGGCUAUUGGUAAAGCAGAAGCAGGUCCAUCCUAGAGAAGUCUGCAUAAGUACAAUAUGCAUUUUCUAUACGGGUGGAAACAGUGAAUUCUCUGGGCCAUGUCAGGAUGAGGCAUUGUGGGUGACUUCCCUUUGACUCCAGCUUGAUGGUAGAUUUCACAAGAGGAAAAAGUGUGUUUAAGAAGUUACUUGAUACUGAUCUGUCCAGAGUGUUUUUCCCAGGCUGGAUUUAAGGAAGGAUUAUCUCAGAUUUUCAUUUAGUUCUGAAAUCCUGGGUAUUGGUUUUAUAAACUAAACCCCCUUCGCAGCAGGUUGCUUGUUCUGUAUUGUUGUUUUAGCCUGAUGCAUAGGAGGGAAUUUCAAUUCACUGACAGGGUGGGGCUAGCUCCUUGCUGGAGUAAAUCACCAUAGCUCAGAUAUUUAAAGGCAGAUGUAUCGGUCCUGGCAGCUGAGGAUCUGGCUUACUUUGAUUAAAAUCUGAUGAAGAUUACUCAGCCUUACCAAGGGACUUGGAUUACCAUUCUAUAAAAAGAAGGGCAGGAGAGCAGAGGACAUUAAAUAUAAAAAUAAUCCAAUGAAGGAUGUGAAGCUAAAUGCACGGCAAAUUGAACAAUGAUGCAAACACCCUACUGAAACAGGUGGAGGGCUGCAGGGCUGGUGGGCACACAUGAGGCUGGAAGGUAGGUUUGAGUCUUUGCUCUUGGGUUUUUCGCAGCCACGGUCUUGUCUUUUAAAGGCAAAUUUUUCACAAAGAGAGCCUCACUCCUUAGAAAAUCCCCAGGGGAGUCUUGCAGGAGAAGAAGUGGGUGACAAAUCCUCUGCUUCUGCUUCCUCGGGAACCCAGGCUGGUGCCAAAUCUCACUACAAAGAAGCGAUUAGAGCUGAGGAACAGAAAGUCAACUCUUACAGACCUGAAAACGUGAAAUGUGCAUCGUCUUGAGCGUUUCUUACAGCAGUUGAACUUCACCUCUCCCUUCUAUCUCAGCGUUCAUUUUCCUGGUUCUUUGUUCCUUUUAAAGCAUGAAGUGUAUUUAGGGACUGUUAUUACGCCACGUGAUUGUGCUUCAUGGGCAGUGACCGAUAGAAAGGCUGCACUGAGCCCUUCUUUUUUUUGGCCUCUUAAAUGGGUUUGUCAAACCUUUCAGCACAUGUCUAGCUUUCCCAAGAUUUUCUAUCCAGCCCCUUAAAAUCAAUAAAAUCUGGUCUUGCCUCUGCACUGUAGCUAUUGAUAGGGUGGAUGCACUUGAGUCUUCAUCUAACUGCCUUUUGAAGUCCCUAAACCCAUUUGUCUCUUCUUUUGAUGGAGUUUGCUGCCUUGCUCAAUGGCUUGCUUGCGUGGGAAGCAUCUUCCUUGCUGACCUCUAUUAAAAACAUGGAAGGUCUUCAAGUAGAGCUACAGGACUUGUGAUUUGAGUGUUCUUCUUUACCUAGACCAAGGAGAGCAGAGUGCAUGGUGCGUUGGCUGGUCUGGAGUCUGUCUAGGGUGACUGGCAGGUGCUUUCAUGGUGUCAGAAGGCUCUGGGAGCCCAUAGAAUGAGGUUGAGCGGCCUUAAAAACGUUGCUGACUUUAACUGACGCAUCUAAAUGCGCUGGAGGAAAGACAAGAGGGCUGUUUGGGGACCUCCUGGGUGAUUACAUACAUGGCUGGUCAGCGACAUCGCCUGAGUGCCCCAGCAGCUAUGCCAGCUUUCCAGUUUUCUUUCAUUGCAGUUCGGGUCGGAUGAGGAUAAGAUUGUGUUUUAGUAUGUGUUUGUUAGGGAGUGCUUUCCCCCCUGCCUCCCACCCGCAUUAAACAGUUUAUUUUCUUUGCAGUAACACGUGUGUUGCUCAGCUUCUGCUGUUCCAUGUGUCGUGCUCUGUUACUCUGUCUUGCUCACAGCCGCAGAGCAGGGGGAACGCUGCCAAGGCUUUUUCUGGGAAUUUGCUCUGGUCGUGCUGCUUCCCCGGGAGCACUCAGCGGAUGCAUGUUGUUUGCAGGGGGGGGGGAAAUACUCAAAUGUCAGCAUCUGAAGGGAUCACGGAGGGAGCGAGGCGAGCACCAACUACUCUUCCAUCUCUCAGAGGUGCCUGCAUGCACAUAGCCUUGGUAAGUUGUGGGCGAUGACUUGUUGAGAAAUGAUAUUGCUAAGCAGUAAAUAUGACCCUCCUGUGCUAUUUUAAAGAGACUUUGCUGAAGGCAGCCUUAGUGUAAUAGCGCUUUUCUUCAUACCCACCUGCCCCAAAUUAACAGCUGCAGAAACGGGGGCUGCAAGUGGCAGUGAUACCCCAGCCAAGGGCACUCCUCUCUCUUCCUAAGAUGCAGUUGUAUUUAUUUUCACUUGGGCGGGAAGCGAAACAGUGCAUAAAAUGUCACAAAUUGAGUUGCACUGGCGAACACAGUUUUAAGUCACCUGCCUUCUUGUUGCAGACACAAUUAUACCUACGCAGACUAAACUGCUGCAGGGGAGGCAGAGACGCAGUGCUCACUGCGGCUGCUUGGGUCGUUCAUUUGUUAGCAUGGCUUUGGAUUUCUGAUGACUCAGAAGGGAGCAGCUCGGCUUCCUCUCAGCUAUUUGCAGAUCUAAAGAUCUGUUGUAAUGUGGUUGUGAACCAGGACUCUGAACGUUGGGACCAAAAGCUGUCUCAGUGUAUAAAAGCGGUGAGCUGGUUUCCACGUGUUGGCUUUCCACGUGUUGGGUUUGUAUGGGGCACUCAUAAGCAACUCACAGCAAAACAGUAAGGUGAGUGCUUGAGAGGAAUUCUUGCUGUCUGCCUUGGUUUCUUUCAGACUAGGGUGGAGGUUAAAUAUUUCAAGCUUCUUGUUGAAGUCUUUGAAGUAGAAUAAGAAUGAGAUGAAUGUCGUGCAAAUGCCCUAACUCCAGGGGCAGGUGCUUCACUGCUGUGAGAGCUGGCAGUGCUAAAUAUCUCAUGCUUUCUGAUUUAUAAUUUCAUCCAGAUCUGGAAUGUUUUACCAAUUAUCUUCAUACGCAAAACCUGAGGAAUAUAGGGUGGGAAAGCCCCUCUUUGUGUGGUAUAUACGUGUGAGUCUUCUGGACCAGAUUUGUAACAGCAGCUGCAGAGCUCUUCACCAGAAUCACAUAGUAAUGGUAAGCAGAGGUCACUAGUUUGUGUAGGUCCAUGGCCUGCAUCUAUGCCUGCACCACCUCUGUGCACCCACUGCAGGUAUGUAGCCUCAGCUCUGGGUGCAGUAUGUCUCUUCACACUGUGCUCUGAGCUCCUGGGCUACCCUUGAUCAUCUAUUCCUAUGUGGGUUUUCCUACCCAGGUUUUCUACCCAGGUUUUCUCUUUCUGAGGUAUAAGACCCAGCUGUACCACCCCUCCCUCUUCAGCUUGCUUUCCUGAGAAAACAGGGUUAAUGUGUCUGGCUUCCUCUUGUCCACCCCUAAUAACUUUUCAGCCUGAUGACUGAUUCCAGCUGUGCGUGCCAGAGAUCUGAAAGAUAAUGAGUUCCUACUAGCUUGAUAUAAAUAGAUGGCGAGGGAAAGACUUUAUCUUUGCCCCUCUCUGUCAGGAGAGUUCAUUCCUUAUCAGUCCAAGAGCAUCUGUGUGAGGUGAAACAAGAAAGGGAUAUUAUGAAUGCCUAUGGGGAAAGCUGCACUUGUAGCUGGUAUCCUACUGCGUCCUAAAGAACCCACCCAUGAUGUGGGAGCUCCCAUUGGAAGGGGCCCUUCCAGCCUCUGGCAGUUGGCUGGGGGCAACUUUCCCCUGCAGCAGCACUUGCCUCCCCCAGGCCACUCUGUUUAAUCUAUUUAAAGCUCUUUAAUCAAAACCUAUGCCUAUGUACCCUUGUGUCAAUGGCCCAGCUUCUGGGUUGUUUUCUUUUUUUCUUUCUUUCUUUUUUUUUAACUAUUUUAUGUCCACAGCAUGGGAUGUACUUAAUUGCCAAGGGCUGGAAGCAGGGCUGCAAAGGUAUUUUAAUUACAUCUGAUUGCUGCAUUCUGCAGCCUUGCUCUGUCAGUUCUUCUACCACAGUGCUGUGUCGAGCCCACUUGGACCAGCACAGGCAUAUUGGCUGUGUGUGGGCUGAUCACAGAGGAAAACAGCAGUACAUCGCUUUGGACGUCAUUGGGACUGUAUCUUUUCUCUCUACUCUGACUUUAUGGCAACAGAUUCUUUCUCAUUAGAGGACUGUAGUCCUUCUGUAUCACGUCACUUAGAAGCAGUAGUACAAAAUUCACCCCACUCUAUUGCAUGGGCGCAGAGCAGGAGUACUUGCUUUAAGGAGAACCUGCUUUAUUGCUCCAGACGCACAUCCCUGCAAGACAUUCCCCCAGCUCCUGUAUUGAUUUCAAGGCUAGUCAGCCUCAAGGGUCUUUUCUUUUUUUCUGUCAAGCAGGGGUGCUCUCCUAGUGUAAGGGUAAGACUGUAUACUCUAAGACUAUUUGAGGGAGUGAAACAAGAAAGCUGCUGGCCUCACUGUGCUGAAACACCCAAAUCAGACCCUUGGGGGCUGAUCUGGUGCAUGGAGUAAGCUGAAUCUCAUGAAGGGUCAGGCAGGAGCCCUGCAGGUAAUGUAAAUCACCUGCUUGUAGAUGUGUCUGCUCACCAAGGGAGAGCAGCUCCAGCCAAGUGUGUAUGAAAUGAGGGUAACUUUUGCAUCUUCAUGUGGCUUUAGGUGUAUUUUCAGUAAUGCUCAGGCCUGGCAGUAUCUGCAGCUCUACCUGGAUGUUUUCUGGUGCAUUCAGUAAGUGGCAGCUCCCAGUGCCCAGACCCUGACCUCCCUUAUCAAAGUGUUUAGCAUUCAGAAGGCAGAGAAAGAGUUUGAACCUGACCCAUGGCCUGGGGAAAGGAAAGUCCAAAGAGGAGAAGGGCAGAGGUAAGGCCGUUUUUGUGCAGCUGCUAAUAAGCACUUCCGUUCCUGCCAGAGCUUUUCCUUCUGAUUUAAGAGGAACCUCAAUAUCCACAAUUUUUCUAUGUUGGAACGUGUCUGUGUUUUUAACAACGCUCAUCUGUGUUUCUUCCUCUUAAUAGAUAUAACCCUGCUGAAGAUUAUAGACGUGUUUUGGUUGAGAUUCUCUGUGUUUGAUGCAUUGUCUGUCUACAACGCAGGGCAAACUCUACUCCUCCCUUUUGGCCCGGCCUGUAAUGAUGGAUUAAGUAGGGGCCAGUCUGUCGUACCUCUCUGAGAGCUGGAGGAAGAAAAGGGACUGGUAAGCAAAGGGAACUGAUGCUGUGAAGUUGCUUUUUGGAAGCCAGGAUGGUGGCUGGAGAGUCUGCCCUCAGAAUUCAGGUCCUUCUUCAGGACUCUGGGAGUCUGCCUGCAUGUGAUUGACAGCAUCAUGUGAGAAUAUAUAGGACUGCAUCUCAUGCUGUCAGGUCAGAGAUUACAUCCAAGCAGCCGACACUCAACUCUCAGUCAGAAAAGAUGCAAAGAAGCAUUCCCUUUUCUGUGUCAUCUGCCUCUGAGAAUGGGAGAGUGCUGUCAGAGUGUUACCAGGUCUGUACUGGUAUAGAGAGGAAGGCUCAGGUUUGAUGAUUUCUCCAUUAUCUGUUGGUGGACACAGCCCAGAGCAUCCCAAGGACUGUAUCCUAGUGCAGGAACUGGGUGCUUCUGUUCCCUUCUGGAUAGACAGCUUUCUUCAGCUUCACGGAGUGCUAACAUAGACCGGUCACCUUUGUUACAACUCCUGGCUUAAGAUAUUCAUCUGACUUGUUGCUUCAGAGUAGGCUGAAUCUGGUAUAACCAAGGCAGAACUUCUACCUUCCAGAAGUGAAGUAAUGCCCCAUGCUUUCAAGUGACUGCUGGUUUGACAGUAAUAGUGAAAGGGAAAGGCAUGAAUAGGAAAAAACUUCUCAGAAAGAGUGCUGUGGAAUGGGCUGCCCAGGGAGGUGGUAGAAUCACUGUCCCUGGAGGUGUUCAAGAAAUGUGGAGAUGUGGCAUUGAGGGAUGUGGUUUAGUGGUCAAUAAUGGUGAAGGGUGGACAGUUGGACUUGAUGGGUCCAACUAAAGGUCUUCCAAUUAGAGAUCUUUUCCAAUCCUAAUGGUUCUGUGAAAACAGUUGACGGUUUCCUUACAGUCUCUGAGAAACUUGGAUAUGGUGUCUGAAAUGAGCUAAGGAAGCCACCUUCCAGGCACAAAAAGAGGUCCUGAGUCCCUGCUCACUGCAAAGAGCAGCAGAUAGAUGGAGCAGACAGAGCUGGAGAGCAUCCUUUUGUUGUUUGUUUUUUGCAUGAGAAUCAUCGAAGAAUCAGGGUGACAAAAACAUUCUGAUGGAAGUGACUAUGUGAAAUAUCUUUUCAUUUCGAUUACUUGAAAAACAAAAACUGUUCAUGGGUUUUAAAAUUCAUGUCCCCUCCGGGUUGCUUUGUUUUGUUUCUUAUUCCUUCUGCCUUAUUCCUCAGAGGGAGCCAUCCAAACCUACACGGUGUGUUACUUCUUGAGGGAAUGUAGUGUGUUCUUUUUCCAGCUUAACCUAGGCUGAAAAAUCUUCUGGUCUUUCAUUUGCUUGAGAAAUGUGACAAAAAGGUUGGAUGGAACAGGAACCUGACUGGUUCGGAGGGAACCUUCUUGGUUUUGGAGGCCCACUUGGGUGGGGGGUAGCUGCAGGAGCUCUUUGCUGUGCAGGCUGGGGACGAGAUGAUGGGCCAUACUUUGUGCCCAAUGCCUUCUCCAAGGAUGAGGGGCAUAAAGGUUCAGAGCUGUGUCUUGGUUGCAGGUGGGACCUGCUACCAUUAAAGUAUGACUCUCAGCUUUCUGGAGUUGUGAAAAACAACCAGACACGAUUGAAAUUGGAAGAGUGAAGGGCUAUCUUGGCUUUUGAGGGCAUCUCCAUGGGAUAUCUCAGAGGUGGCUUGUUGGAGCUGAACUACAGAAGGGGCACUGCACUGGAGCUGCAUGGGGGUUCACAUGGGUCAGGAGUGGUGGCAACUGCCUACAUGCCUGGAAGCAGGGCAAGUAGUGGGCUGGGGGUGGACGGACCACCUCUGCCUGUUGCUGCCAUCUCCACAAGCUGCCAGCUCUGCCUUGUAGCUCUGCCUAGAUCUGCAGUAGAGCUGCUCAUCCCCAGCCCUGCCGUCCCUGUGCCCCACAUGCUGCCUCUCCUAUAAAUAGCCGGAUUGGAAGCGGAGCGCAGAGCCGCCGCAGAUGGCCCCCAGUUCCGCAUGCACUCAUGUGUGAGAUCCCAGAGAGGGGCUGUCAAUUCCUUGCCUACAGCCACCCAUGCAACCUCAUUAAGAAUGGUGUCGUCUUCUUUAACUCCCAUCGCCCCCUCCCCCCCACACUUCAACGUGCCUCCUUUUGAGCACCCUUAUUAAAUGUGCACUUCUAAGCAAGGAGCGCUGACUUCCCCUUAAUUGAGGCAUAAUAAUUAGAGCAUUAACACAUUAGGAGGGUGAGACAGCAUGUUUAGCUUUUGUGAUUAAUUAUCUGAGGAUUGUAAUAAGUUGUUAAGACAUUAAUUACUCUGGCAUGUUUAUUGCUCUUUAUUGCUGAACUGACACUUGGUGGAAGAGUUGCUGGUGUGCCUGGCGGUGCAGUGUGAGGUGGGCUGGCCAGAGGAGCCUCUGCUCCCCAUAGGCAAUGAGCUUCUGCUUGGGAAUGGAUCUAGGGGACCAGAAACAGCUCCUGAACCUCCAGCAGGCCACCUUGGAAUGGAAGUGGUGUCUGAGCCUCUGAGAGCCAUAGGAUUAUGAGGGUUGAAAUGAAAUGCUGAUAUCAUCUACCCAACCCCACCAUGCCCACUAAACCACGUCCCUCAGUGCCACAUUCUCCCUCAUCUUGGGACAGUUUUGGAGCUGGAAGGUUUAUUUUAAUGGAUGUUUUCAUCUGGAUUUCUCUCUUCUUUCAAACAAAGUGUUUCCUCUUGGAUGGUUUGAGCCUGCCCUCAUUUGGAUCUUUGUUUUUGCAAAUCCAAGUCAGCGUGGCUCAUUCUGCCUGGAUCUGAGGAGGAUGGCUGUCUGUUAAAGACAAGCUGAAGUUCAGCGUGUCAGCAGUGGUCAAGGAAUGAACCAGGACCCCAGUGGCCUCGUUCAGCUCUUGAUCAGAUGAAUUUUCUUCUGGAGAGCUGGGAGGUGGGUUAGGGAAGGCUGUUGCUGUGGCAGCAGGAGCGGAUCAGCCCUCUGCAGCCUGCUCUUCACACAGCAAGCUGCUCAGCGACCUGUCAGUGCUGUACUGAUCAGAUGGGGGCUGAAGGCAGAGUUCAGAGCAGGAGGAUGGAUGGGUCCGUGUGCUGCUGUGACAGAGAAAAAAGACAGCAGGAGGGUGUGCUGAGCCUGUCCCAGCCUUCUGCUUUUCCCAUGAGUUGUAUAGUGCCAGAGCCUUGCUGUCCAGUUCUUUGGGCUGGGGACAGUACAGGGGAAAUGGAGUAACAGAGAGACAGACGAAGAAUAAAAUUGGUAAAAUGGUGUAAGACAAGAAGGUGAGAAAGCUGUGAGUCUUGUGUGUUUGCUAUUGGUUUGAUAUUGGAUGGCUUCAUUCCUGCAGGCAGCCAAGGUCAGGCUGGAUGGGCUGUGAGCACUGAUGAAGCUGUGGGUGUCCCUGCUCAGUGCAGGACAGUUGGACCAGAUGGCCUUGAAGGGUCCCUUCCAGCUCAAAAUGAUGCUGUGUUUACUUGGGGGGCCCUAGAGCUGACAUGUCUGCUUUCCAGGCUAUGGCUGUGCCCUCACUUUGCAACACACGCUUGUGUCUUGGGAUGGCAGCCAAGGGAGUGGGAGGGGGUCUUUCCAUCAGACUUUAAAUGUGAAGACCCUGUGCAGUCUGCCUUUCUCAAGGACAGACUGUCUCAGUGUGGCUCCCACCAGCUCAAUCUGCUGUUACUGUCACCGGUGGCCAGGGAGCUGCACAAGGCACUGAAUGCCCUCCCCAUGUGUGAGCUGGGAUCCAUCUUGUGUCAGCUGCCUUCAGCACCUCCGAGCCCGCGCUGCCUCACUGUAGCCCAGCCUGAAUUUGGCAUUCGCUGUCAGGUGGUUGAUUUCUGCCUGCAGAAUAUGGAAAGCAUCAGCCUGGCAUUUCCCGCUUGCCUCCUAGGGACAAAGCAGGUCACGACUUAGGUGUAGUAUCAUUAAAAAGAUAAUUUCCUCUAGAUGUGUGCAAUAAGACAAUGAUGCUGACCUGUGAUCCUGGCAUUGCGCAGUAUUAAUGAUUUCCCUUUGCAGGUAAUAAGCAGCAAAUGUACACGUUUUGGGGAGAUCUGAAUUUUAUUUAUAUAUAUAUAUAUAUAUUUUUUUUUUUCCCUUUUAAGACUGCUGUCUUCCUAGGCCAGACUUAAUUAGCAGACCUCAUUAUUUCCUGAAAUGUAACUUGACUUCCAUUGAAUAAGAAUUGUUCAGCGGAUGGGGAGCAGCAGAGCGGUGCUGCAAUAUUCAUAUUGUUUAAAUUGCAACAUUAACAUUUCAUGCCGCUCUUGGCAUAUUUUCAGGUGCGGCCCUUUAGCUCAUUGCAGUGCUGCGAAAGGUUGGAUCAGAACAUUUAGGAUACAGUGACUGGAUUUCUGGAUUAUUAUUAUUUUUUAAGGAACACAAGCUUAGAUUCAAUCCCCAUCACUCUUUUUGUUUGGCAGAACAGGGAUUCCAGUGCCCCUGAAGUAAAUGCUUUUCUGGAAUAAAGGAUGUACUGUAGCACAUGCUCACCGUCUCUCUUAGCAGAGAUGAAGCCCUGCAGGUACAUGCAGUAUGUGAUUCACGGGGCUGGAAACACCCCCUGGGACUUGACCUUUACCAGUCUGUUCCCAUGAGAUUUAUAGACUCUGACUGUCCCUGAGACCUCUGCCUCUCUGUCAGAUCAGUCUGAAAUCUGUUCUCAGUGUCAGAAGCUGCUGCCAAGCAGGCAGGGGAUGGACUGAUGCAUGUGUUUUGCAUCCCAUAAGAACUCAAGCACAGACAAUGGGAGCUCUGAUUUCCAACUUGUGGGUUCAGGAAGGUGAGCAUCCAGGAGAAGUGUCGUGCCCUGCACAAGAUGCCGUGCUGUGGGAUGCUCACAGGCUGCACUUCAUGUUCCCAUUGCCUGCGGUGACCAUCACAAGCGGCACAUCCCCUGUGGGAACAGCCCCGGAGGACAAUAAAUGAGCCAGCCUCAAGCUUCUGGCUGCUGUGAAGAAUUGCCUGGCUAAAGGAUAAUGAAUACCGCAGCAGGAGACGGAGCGUUUCUCCGAGGCCAUCCAUCCCCUUUAUCACCCCACUAACAAGCCCCUGAGCGACUUCAGAGAGGCUUCUGCAGAGCAGCUCAAUCCCUCACCAUGCUGGUGGCUGGGUGCUGGGGGCUCUGUGGGAAACCGCAGUCCCAUCCUAUAGAGCAAAUGCCAGUGCCCUCCAGGUGUCCAUGUAGUGCCAAGGAGGGGCAGAAAAGCCAGGCAUCCUUUUUUCUCAAGGCAGUUUUGGGCCCUGCAGCACCCUUUGCAGCAUUGCUCUACACAGCUCCCAGCUUGGUGAAGAUUUCUAAGAUCUGUACAAGGCUCAGGAGGAGUUUAGUGCUGCUGGCCAGGAGGUUUAUCUGUAGGAAGAUGCAUUUGGCAUGGGCCCUGCAAGAACUUCACAUCCAUCGCUGGAGCUGGAGGAGGAGAAGGGAAAGCAAACAGUGUUGGGUGUCCUCAGCAAUGUAGGUGGCUGGGGGGAGGAACUAAGGGGCAAAAAGCAGGAGAAAAGCUGCAAAGCUAUUCAGGAAGGUGCGGACAGCACACUGAUGGGCAAUUAGGUUGUUACAGGAAGGACAGAAGCAGCAGAGAGCAGCCAGCUGAGUCUGAGGAGCUCUGAUACUCAGUAUCAGCUUUGACGGAGGUCACGGGGCAGGGUUGUGUUUCAUGCCUCAGUUUCCUCAUGGGAGGCUUCAUUUACAGCCUGAAAACAUCUGGCACUUAUCCUCCUUUGGCCAGCACCGUUAAAUGUUGAAUUGAAGGGAAAUGCAAUGCAUCACCCUCCUCAUGGGCUGCGACUCUGCCAAGAGUAGCAGAGAUUGGCCUCCCAUCACACGGGGUUGGGGUGAGCUCCCUUCCAACCCCAAUCGUAUUCUGUGGGUCUGUGAUGUCCCUGUUCACGAGGGUCCCAGAAUGCAGGAGACACUGUAGUUCUGCCUCUUGUAUUGAGUUUUACCAAUGUUAACGGGGCUGCCUUCAGGGUGGUGCAGGUUUGAAGGAUGCCUCGCCUGAUCCUGUCUCUUGCAGGUUGUAAGGAAAUCAUUUUAAUUAGCUUGACACAUCCCUUUGUGGGCAAAAAGAAAGAAAAGAAGGAAAGCCAAUAGAAACUCCGGCCAUUUGGGGUAUUUUUAGUUCUUUGUGAAGGACUGCUAACAUCUCUCUCAGCUCCCUGAAGACUGCUCUGGCUCUGCAGUCGCCUGCGGUGCUGUGCUGAUGCCAGCACACCCUGCAUGAAGGUAAGGCAGCCCCCAGGGCUGUGGUUCUGGAGAGCCUUGUUGCCCCAUCCUUGCUCUCAGAAUGCCCACCAGGCACAGUCCUCAGAGAAGGGAUGAGAAGCUCAGACAUUGAGUUCCCACAUUGAGGCAUCCUCCCCCCCUUCCCUUUCUGAGCUGAGAGCAGCAAAAUUAAAGUAAAACUCAGCUCCUGAGCCUGAACCCUUCACCUGGCUUGUUUUCCCCUUUUUUUUCUCUGACCAUUUUGGUUGGCUUAGUGUCAUUGCCAGCCGAUUGCUUAUGGAGGGAAGGAGACCUGAGAGAGGAUAAAUCUGGAGGCAAUGAGGUUAGAGGGAGGCAAGUCAUCUGCUCUGACACUUUUAUUGUGGAGCGAGGCUGCUUGGGAGUGAAUCUUCCUUGCAGCAUAUGCUGUGGGAUGAUGUUGCUUCGAGGGAUGGCAGUAGCCUUCCCCAAGCCUUGCUGCCCAGUCCUAUGCUGUUCUCCUGGGGCUGGGAAUGCCCUGGGCUGCAGGGCCGCUGGGUGGGUCCUUGGCUUUGGCCAUCAUUCCCUUUCUGGUUAUUUCAGGCUUUCAGUGCUCUGAGUGAAGGCAAAAGUGUUGGGAUGUCACAGAUGGGCCUCAUUUAUCCAUCAGAAGAAGCCUUUUGAUUACUUCAGCCACACAGGCAUUGUUUUGGACACAGUGGAGCUGUUGGCGUGGGCAUGUUUCUUGUUUUGGAAAUGCAGAGGGCACAAUGGAGAUCACAGUGAAAUCCUUCUUGAAGUUGCCCAGGAAUAUAGAUGGCCACAAGGAAAGGUAUCCCCCAGCUCCAGGAAGGCGGUUCUGCAUGCUUAGUAGCAUGGUGAGGAGCUGAUGGCCAUGCUCUGUGCAAGGGAGGGAGCCAGAGGAGAUUUCAGGUUAUACUGAACUCCCAGCUCCUUUCCAACAUUACUGUCAACUUGGAUUUCACCUGGUGGUGGUGAUGCUGAGGCUGGCGUGACUGUAACAGAAUGUCACUGGGAGAGGUGAUGUUAUUCCCUCCAUAGGGGUACUUCUUCCUUUCCCUUCCCUCUGGCUUACGUAACAAACUUCAGACUCCCAGUGCCAGCAUCUGUGUUGCCCAAGGGCCAAUACAUGCAGCACUGGGCAUUGCUUUAUGCUGUGUCAGUGAGCAGAUCUGUGUCACCAAUGACUCCCCAACACUAAGGGUUGAGUGGGUGACCAGAGGGUGAUGUGUCACUGAGACAAAUCAGGGCAGUCAAGAGCUGCCAUGUUUGCCAGCAAGGGCACCCUCCUACAGCAGCAUCCUGCUAGCCCUGUGGGCCAUCAGACCCCAACCUGAGCUAAAUCUGGGUCUGAGAGAUGGACAGAUGUGUGACGAUAGUUAAAACUCUCCAUGGGCUGUCUUGCCACCUCUAAGUAGAAGCUAUCAGGAAGGGAGCGUCUGGUAUGCUCAGCAGCCCCACUGCCAACCUGCUGUCCUCAGGGGCAACUUCAGCGAAGCCCCUGUUCUGCUCUGUAUCCAGCUUUCAUCUUACAGCUGGGUAUGGAGGAAGGCAUGAGUGCAGCUGCUGCUGCCAGGCUGUGCUGGAAAAUGCAGGCAGAGGAUGCCUAUGUGUGUGCUUCAGGAUCCAAGAACUUCAUCUGGUACUUGUUCUCUAUUAGCCCCAAUCCCCUAUUGCAUCUUUUCCAGCUGAUGCCUGAGCCCGUUUUUGUUUUGUUUCUGUUUCUCCCUCACCUUAUGAAAAAUGGCUUUGCCAUCUGCAUCUGUCAGAAGUCUGUGGAGUCGGGCCCACGGCUCAGUGAGUCUACAAACGUGUGGUUGGAUUGUGAGCCCCACUGACAGGCUGGAGCCGAAUACCAAUGUGCAGGAGGAUGAGCACACUCCCUUCUCUGCUGCUGGUACCUCUGCUGGUUGUUGUUUUUUUUUCCUAUCCAACGGAGGUGUGAGAAUCGCCUCUGGGAGCAUUGCUUCCUUCUGCUCCUGUUCCGCCUUGCCAAGGUUGGGUUCUCUGCCAUCCAUCAUCAGAUGAGGCCUUGCCUCACUCCUGUGUAUCAGCUGCGGAUGGGAGUGCUGGGGAAAUGCUCCACUCUGCCUUCCCCACCAACCCUUCCCUUCUCUUUGUGCAUCUCACCCCCAGGUGCAGUGCAAGGCAGUGCAAGGCCCAAGGACACUUAGAAUCACAGAGCCAUGAAAUAUCCCAAGUAAGAAGGGAUCAUCAAGACCAACUCCUGGCUCCACACAGGACCACCCAAAACUCAGACCCUGUUAUCAAGAUGCUUCAUGAGCUCCAGCAGCUCGGUGCUGUGCCCACUGCUCUGGGCAGCCUGUUCCAUGCUCCACUGCCCUCUGGUGCAGAACCUAUUCUUGUUACCCAACCUGAACCUGAUGUUUCUUUUGCUUGCUGGUACCAAGUGAUUUUGGAGAGAGUAGAGGUUGAAGUAGAGGAAGGUAUCUUGUCCAACCAUACAUUCCUGCUUCAAAAUGUGAUUUUGAAUGGAAGGUUUCAGCUGAGUUGAGUGAGAGACCAGGUAAGAUGUGACAGCACCCAAGUGCUCUUGCACACCUUAGCCUCACUGUGACUCUGUGGGGUCACACAGCUGCCCACAGGAGGUUUGCCAACCUCCUCUCUGCCUGCUGGGUUUCCUGCAGUCUGCUACAUGAGCCACUUCCCAACCUUGCUGUGCUGACAUGUAUAGAGCCAGGUGGGCUCAGAGAAGUGGGCAAAAGAUGAAAGGAAUCUCUCCAUGCUCUUGCCACAGCUCUCUGGUCAAGGAGGAGAAGCUUCAAGGAGGGUGGCCCCCCACUUUGGCAGGAGGAGAGAGCCAGCAGCUUGAGCUGAGCUGGUUUUCUGACAAGCAGAUGGAUGUUCAGCAGGGACCCAUGAAAACCUUCUAGCUUCAGGCUAGCUGCGAGCCCUGCAAACCAUAGCAUUGUGCUGAUGUGAAGAAAGCAUUGCUUCACUGCUGCUCUGUCUGAAUUACCUCUCUGGGGGGCAGUGCCCAUCCCUUGUGCCUAUGCUCUGCAUCUGGCUGGGCAAGGCCGUGCAAUAAGGGAGGAAGGCAACGAUGGCAAUCUCUUCCCACAUCUCUACGCUGUGGGGCUCUUGGCGAGCUAGUGCAGUCUGCUCUGCAGGCUCCGAGUGCUCCUGCAGGUGGGAGCCAAUUUGUCUGCAUUCCUGCUCAGGUGCCAUCUGCUGUAGGAUUGCCUGUGUGAGGAUGAGCGGGAUGGGGAUGGCAAAGGGAGGCUGGUAGAGAAAGAGCCUCAGCCUUCCCUGGGUAACUUCAGCACUUCUUGAAGCCUUCGCGGUGGGGAAGUCACAGCCUGUCAUUUGCUGUUCUUGGAGUGUGAUGGGGAGCUGAGGCACUGCUAAUGGCAAGCUAUCAUUUUAAUGCUAAUUUCCCAGCAUUAGAUCAGGACGGGGGUGGCACAGCCUUCGAGGAGGGAAGUCUUUAGCAGAUGGAGAGGGGGGGGAUGUGUGAGGGUUGUUCUGCACCCAAGAAUGGACUUCCAGGAGGUGGGUGAUUAACCACCACUGGGAAGAUGAGGAGCAGAUGCUGGGUCACUCCCUGGUGGUUGUGGGAGGGACAUUUUCUUCCAAGGCUCCUUGCUGCAUGGGGUUCCAUAGUGCAAUGUGCUUUGGGCCAGAUUUGGUGUCUGCAAUUAGCCCUUGGUGCCUGGUGGCUGUGGGGUGUUCAGAGCGGUGACAGGACUGUCCUAGUGGCAUAGCUGUCUUUUAAUGAAGGAGCCAACUCUUGUCAGGAUUGGGUUUAGCUUUUCUUUUUACGACAGUUCCCGAAUGUAGGAGCCUGGAUAUCCACGUUCAUAGAAUCAUUUGAGUUGGAAGGGACCUUUAAAGGUCACCUGGUCCAACUUCUCAGCAUGGAACAAGGACACAUACUACUUGAUCAGGUGCUCAGUCCAGGAUGAUCUUGGAUGUCUGCAAUUACAGGGCUUCCACCACCUCUCUGGGCAAUGUUGGUUGAUUUUAAAGGUUAGUUGCGAUCCUGCUGGGUUGGCUGCUGCUCUCUCGUGUCACCAAUGCCUUGUGCCCAGGAGGGGUACAAACAUUGCCCGGGGCUUGUGGGCUCCUCAUCCUAUCUCUUCUUAUCUCCACUUGGAAGCAUGUUAAGCCUAUAACCUGUUCUCAGUGGUUACCCAAUGACUCAGCACCAAUUUGAGGACGUUUACUUCAUGCACAUGUGAGUUGUGGGUGGAAUUUCCCUCUUGGUCUCUUGAUGAUUGAGUCUGGGUAAGGGAGUCUGGUUCUGCCUGAGCACAGCUGGAGGAGGGAUCCCACUCCUUGUUCUUGUGCUGGAAUAUUGAGUGGGAAGGAUUUGUUGAGGCACUGCCAUAGGCUGCCCAGGGAAGUGAUGGUAUCACUGUCUUGGAGGUGUUCAAGGGCUGUGGAGGUAUGGAACUGAGGGAUGUGGUCAGUGGGCAUGGUGGGGGUGGGUUCACUCAUCCAACCUCUUGGUCCAUCUCCUUGAGCUGUUUACCAAAUGGAAAAGCUGCUUUGCUGCUUCCCAGCCUAGUGUUGGUGCCUGGGAGCUCGUGUGAAGUUUGAAGGGAGGUCUAUGGUUGUGGUGGGACUGUAGGACCUUCUUGAGACUGUGUUGGCAGUGGUCAGGGGUUCCUCUGUCAUUUCUAGGUCUGCUUGGAAUAUCUCCAGCUAGAUCACAUCGGUCAGAAUUUGGUCCAGCCUGACCUUGAAUGUCUUCAGGGAUGGUUCAUCUUGGGACUAAAGGGAAACAAGCUCAGAGGCUGUGCCUGGCUGGGAGGGAGCUGUGUGCCUCCUGAUGAGGGCUGGCAUUGUAUUAAGGCAGGGACAUAGUGGUCUCCUUGUCCUCAGCAUGGCAGAUCUCCUGAAGACUCACCAGCCUGUGCUGAUUUAGACCAUUAGAUUUAUCAUUUCAAACACAUGUGAGUUUUAAAGACCGUUUAAAAACCAUUCUGGCAGCUGGCAGGGAAACAAUGGAGGAACAAAACCAGCCAUGAUAAUAAAAGGGAAGAAAACCAGCAACUGGUUAAGAGAGAGGAAGCCAAGAGGAGAGCAUCCUGCCAGGAGGACAUCAGCACAAGUUGCUUUAGCGCAGCAGCACUGCUCUGUGGAUUCCCAACUAUCAGAUCUGCCCCAAGGGAGAGCAUGACUCACUGUUUUUAGGGAGCAAUUUGCAACCGAAGAAUGGCUCCUGUCUUGUCUAGAGUUUCUCCCUGCCUUGGGCACAGAGAUGAGCAAAAGCAAAGGGCUGUUUUAUCCUAGCUGAGGAGGAGCAAACAAGUGGCUAAGCGAGGAAAUCAAGGACUUAUGUGUGUCCAGGAAUAAUAUAAUCAAGCUGUUUUGGGGGAGAAAAAUGAAAUCAGUGGUGUUGCUUUUCCCAGUUCAUCACUCUGAAUAAUGAGCCUACAAGCUGGCUGGGGAGCUCUCAAGGGACACCUGUGUGCAGGAGAUGGACACAACACGCAUCUUGGAUGGGCCAAUCGCUGGAGUGCAUUUUCUCUCUAAUUUUCUACAUCAGUGAGAACACAGAGCAGCACCAUCCAUCAUCAUCAAAGUCAUCUCCAGAAGCCACCUCCUGCCUCUCCAUCGAGGGAUGCUGCACCUCUGUGUCCUGCAUGAAGGCCACAGGUGGUACAACACAUGGUGUUGCAGGUAUGGCUUCUCAGAGCAGCCAAGGGUCAGAUAAUCACUUAGGUUGGAAAAGACCAUGGAGAUCAUCUACCCCAACCACAGCCUCUUCCAGGCAAGGUCUCCUGCUUGUACCAACCCUGCUCCAAUGCUGUGCAGCUCUUGCUUGCUUCUGUAGUAGCUGCUUUGUUUACUUCCACAGUGCCUGCCCUUUUGGUAAUGAGCUAUAAUUCAUCCUGCUUUACACAGUGCUCAGAGGUACCUGGAGCAAGAAAGGUGUGCUGUUACAAACACCCUCUCCAGAGCAGAGGUUGCUGAUAUCCCAGAGCUGUACAAUGAAGAGGCAGUGGGGGGAGGUGGAAAAGGGGAAUAUUUCAUGCCCCCCCCCAGGGUGAAGGUGCUGUCUGGGAGGCAGCAUGCAGGUGCAGAUGGAAGGCAGUGACAUGCAGACAGGGUGGAGGGAUGAAAGAUAGAUUCUUUUUUUAAACCUGCUUUCCUCUCUUCCCCUGCUUUAUAACCUGUUUUUAUAGAGACUGCACGAGGAACACACUUUUUUAUUAGCAGCCUGGGAGUGGAGAGUAAUAAAGAUUAAUUUUUUAAAUAAUUCCUUGCAUUAUCUUUUAAUUUCCUGUGGCAGGGUUUGACUUUUAAAUCUGCAGACAGAGUUAACCACUCGUGUGCUCAUUGCUUUGAGAGCAGCAGCCAAAGAACUGUGCAGCUGGGGAAUCUGGGAGGGAUCCCAAAGCCCAAACCUGGAGGUUCAGCCUCUCCUAAGUUGGCCAUGGCCACAUCUGCCCAUGGCUAUAAAGACUGGCCAAGAUUAGCAGCACUGGGCAACAGAUCUCUGCCAGGAAGGUGCAGAUCUAACCCAUCCUGCAGCUCGUUAGCUCUGUUUUGAAUUGGCAUCAAAGUUGAAUAUACUCUUAGGCAGGAGAAGGAAGAAACCCAGUGUCCUCCUCUGCUGCCGUGGGUGAUGAAUCCUUGCUUGUCUCCAUAUAAUCCUUUGAGGUGGAAGAGGCAUUUAAAGGUCAGCUGAUCCAUUUCUCUUGCAGUGAGUAGGGACACCUACAGCUUGAUCAGAUGCUCAGAGCCCCAUCCAGCCUGACCUUCAUAGAAUCAUUAAGGAUGGAAGAGACCUCUAAGAUCUGCAAGCUGAACCCCAGCCCAGCAUGCCCACUGCCCACAUCUGUCAGUGCCACAUAACCACGGUUCAUGGUUCUGAACGUCCCCCAGGGGUGGUAACCCCACCACCUUCCUGGGCAGCCCAUUCCAAUGCCUCACUGCUCUUUCUGAGAAUAAAUUGUUCCUAGUAUCCAACCUUCAAACCUCAGUCUAUCCCUGUAUGAAGCCCAGCUGCCCCAUGCCAGGCUAUGUGCUGCUGGGCAGAGCUGUCCCCAAGGCUGGGUUUGCAGGCUCUGCAGUAUGGGGAUAGGACUGAUGCUACAGGCAGAACACCUGCCUGGCACCAGGCAUCCCUCCUAGCAUCAAUUACAGUUCAUGUCCUGGCUUAGUGCUUUGGCAGCAAACUAAGAUCUUGUCCUUCUGGCCAGGUUCCAUCCGACUGGGUGCUCUGGCAGCCAAGGGAACAUGAAAAGCUUUGGUACACAUGACUUGGUCAUCGUUUAGGUGAGAAAAUGAAUUCCUCAUCCCUCUUUUUGGAUUCUUUAUUUAUUCAAGCCUUUUUACAGCAACUUACCCUGCACUCUGCCAGGAGAAGAAAGAAGUGCCUUAUGGAUGUUCCUCAUCUGCAUCCCAUGGCCACCCAUGGUUUCAGGGUGUCCUACCACAACUCCCAUUGCACCACAGAACCCUGGCUGCUCUCUUGGGAUGGCUGCUUUGAGGCUUGCAGGCUGCUUCACAGCGAGUCAUCAGUGACUCCCUGUCCUGGAGAUAGCAGCAGAAAAGGCAGAAACAGGGUGGUCACCCACAGGGGGAAACUGAGGCACAAAGAAGUGCUGUGAUGCCCAUGCAGGGCAUGCGUGCAUCCCUCCCUUUGCAUGCAGGGCACCAGGAAAUGAGAAGGGUCAUUCCCACCUGUCAGUAGCUGCCCAAAAGCAGAGAUAUCAUCCUCUGUAGGUGGCUCUUCUUUUAUUUUUUCUCUUCUGAAGUCACAUGGAGAAAAAUGGAAAUAAAGAGCAGCAGGGAGAGAGCUGUUAAAAAGCUUAAAGCUGUCACAAGGCAUUGGUUAGUUUAUGUGCAGUGAAGUAUACAAACAAGUUUUCAGCUUGUUGGUUGGAGCCAAGGAGCUUUUUUUUUCUGUGUGUGUGAUAAAUAUGUUUUAUGGGUCUUUUAUGGGAUUUUUUAAAAUGGCUGUCCCAAUAAAUUAUUUACCGAGGUAAUAAAAGAUCAAGGAAAUUGUUCCAACCGUAUCGCUCAGCAUCUUAAAUCCUGGAGUUUUACUGGGGUGCAAGGACCCCCUGAGUUCCCCCGGCCCUAUAAAACUAACUGGGGAGUGCUGCUUUCCUCCUGCAUGAACACUGAGGACAGCCCUGAAAGCAUCCCCAUGGGCUCCUUGGGAACCUGGCACCAUGUGCAAGCCAGCAAAAGAGGUGAAGAGCAGCCCAGCGUAGCCAUAGCAGGGGUGAAAUAAAAUGUGAUGGUGUUCUGGUG